rnacentral:lncRNA from 1 species
GGCCCUGCUCCCUGUGAAACCUGUAGGAGAAGGAUCUUUCCCUGCCUCUUCCAGCCUCUUGUGGCCCCUAUGUUCCUUGAUUUGUGGCAGCAUAAUUCACUUGGCGUUCUUCCUGUGUGUCUUCACAUCAUAUUCCCCCUGUAUGUUUCUGUGUCCAAACUUCCCCCUUUUAAUAAGAAUAUUAGCUUUAUUGAAGGGCCCACCCUACUCCAGUAUGAUUUCAUCUUAACUAAUUACACCUGCAACGACCCUAUUUCCGAAUAAGUUCACAUUGUGAAGUUCUGGGGGUUAAGACUUCAACACAUGAAUGUUGGGGGUACAAAAUUCACCCAUAACAGUAUCUGUUUAUGAGGGUAGGGGAUUAGACUACAGAAGUUUUCAUGCGUAGCGUUUGCGGCAGGACCAUUUCAGGGACUCGUAGACUGACAUUAACAAGGACAUCUACCUGAGGGUAGUUUCCAUCAUGGCUGAUGAUCAGGACCAUCUGGUACUUGUUAAAACCAGAAAUUCCCAAGCUGCCUCCCAGACAUCCUGAAUCAGAAAGAGAUUCAGAAAGUUGUGUGUUAACAAGCACCUCUGUGAUUCUGAUGUAACCAGCCCUUUGAUGCCCUCAAAUUUGGGAAGCACAGUUCUAGCCAACCCACAUGGAUGUUCAACAUUCUGGCCCUUGUGACAGCCAAGUGCCUCUGAAGUGGUAUCCAGACUCCCUCAACUCUCCAGCCACCAAGAUGCCCGUGCCUAAGGCAACCGGACCAAGAGAUGGAACCAUUUCAUCACACCAGGGGGAAAGAAAUGGGUCAACAAUCUCUACCCUGUCUAUCUGGCUGGAAAGUGCAUCGGGAAACCUCUACAAAGAUAAAUGUGAGCCUUUGAACAUGCCUGCUACCACCAGACCCCGUCGUGGGUUCUGUUCACCUCUGCCCUGUGGCUAG